rnacentral:rRNA from 1 species
UAGGGAAUCUUCCGCAAUGGGCGAAAGCCUGACGGAGCAACGCCGCGUGAGUGAUGAAGGCCUUCGGAUCGUAAAACUCUGUUAUUAGGGAAGAACAUAUGUGUAAGUAACUAUGCACGUCUUGACGGUACCUAAUCAGAAAGCCACGGCUAACUACGUGCCAGCAGCCGCGGUAAUACGUAGGUGGCAAGCGUUAUCCGGAAUUAUUGGGCGUAAAGCGCGCGUAGGCGGUUUUUUAAGUCUGAUGUGAAAGCCCACGGCUCAACCGUGGAUGGUCAUUGGAAACUGGAAAACUUGAGUGCAGAAGAGGGAAGUGGAAUUCCAUGUGUAGCGGUGAAAUGCGCAGAGAUAUGGAAGAACACCAGUGGCGAAGGCGACUUUCUGGUCUGUAACUGACGCUGAUGUGCGAAAGCGUGGGGAUCAAACAGG